UCCAGCCUGGGCAACACAGCGAGACCCUAUGUCUUAAAGAAAGGGCAGAAGUGGGGACCCCUCUCCCACCCCCUUCCCCUGCUCCAAGCCAAAGCGUUUGAAGCAAGAGGUUGCCUCCUGUGAGUUUCCCCCAGUCCCUGGAGGCCUGGGCUUUGGGAGGUGUGUCCAGGCAGAGGACAGAGGUCUUGUGCAAAGGGCCGCUUUUCCCUUCGCCCACCCUGCGCCCGCCCAGCCCCUUAUCCGAUGGGAAAGCCUUACUGACUCUUUUCCUCGCAGAAGCGCCCAGAUGCUGUUUAUGCAACCUCUCCAGAAUCUCAGUGUACUGUACUUUUUAAAAAGUGAUUUGAUUCAAAGCACUCAUUCUUUAAUUAAACUUCAUUUAGCUGC
rnacentral:lncRNA from 10 species